rnacentral:rRNA from 1 species
UACGUAGGGGGCAAGCGUUAUCCGGAUUUACUGGGUGUAAAGGGAGCGUAGACGGCAUGGCAAGUCAGAUGUGAAAGCCCGGGGCUCAACCCCGGGACUGCAUUUGAAACUGUCAGGCUGGGGUGCAGGAGAGGUAAGCGGAAUUCCUAGUGUAGCGGUGAAAUGCGUAGAUAUUAGGAGGAACACCAGUGGCGAAGGCGGCUUACUGGACUGUAACUGACGUUGAGGCUCGAAAGCGUGGGGAGCAAACAGG